rnacentral:rRNA from 1 species
AUGGAUCGGGAGCUGGAGGAGGCGAACUGCAAGUUCGCGUGGCUCAAGCUCGCCUGCGCGGAGGACGAGCUCGACACCUGCGCCACCCUGAUCUCGGAGCUCAAGGUUCUUCUCACAAAGUUUCCUAGCCUGCCACCAUCAUUUAAGAAUACACCCAAUGCAGUUGCGGAGCUGAGACUCGCAAGGGCCAUAUACGAGUUUGCUGUCAUCUUCAGCAUCAGAGUUAAGGACCAAGAUGCAUUUGAGAGGAACUUCUUCCAACUAAAAGUCUUCUACAUGGAUACAAGAAGCAUACUCCCACCAUCACCAGAAGAAUAUCGAAUUUGGGGGCUUAAUCUUCUGAGGCUGUUGGCUGAGAACAGAGUAGCUGAAUUCCACACUGAGCUGGAACUUCUGCCCCCCAGAGCCCUAGACCAUCCUUGCAUCAAAUAUGCAGUCGAGCUUGAGCAAUCCUUUAUGGAAGAUGAGAUAGCUGAUUGCAGUGGUCAGGCAUACGAUCACUUGCCAGUGGAUGGUACCAGAAAAAUGCUGAUGUUUUCCUCUGAGCAAAAGCUUCUGGAGUACAUAUCAGAGAUACAGCAUGAAUGGGAGGUUCAGAAUCAUUCAGUCCUUUUCCACAUGGCGAAGGUCCAACCCCGUGUCGGCAUACAAGCGCAUCAGAUGAUCAAGCGAUCUCUUUGCUACGCACGGGAGCUCGAGCGGGUAGUGUAA